CGAGUGCAGCGAGAAAGCGUUGCCGCAGGCAACGACCCGGAGGGUGAGGAGCGGAGCGACGAAUAAUCCUUCCCCCACCACCA
rnacentral:sRNA from 1 species